CGUGCUGUCCCUGAUGUCAGAGGCACGACUUCCUGAAUCUGGCUCGCGGUCCUGCCCGCUCCUGGGGCUCGGCCCAGGCUUUCCAUCCGGGACCAGCCCACCUCGGGUGCCUCUGGCCUUGGGCGCACACGCCCCAGACGCGCCCUCCCUUCCCAGUCUUCCCGCCAGUGGCUCCCGCCCCCGCCAUUACGCGUCCUUGCCCCCUCAGUCCCGGAACACGCCUCCUUCAGGACACAGCCGCUGCGGAACCAGCCCCAGUGUAUUUCACAGACGUGCCAGUGUUCCAGGGACUGGACACUGAACUCCGGGCAAACCAGGCUUCAGGGAAAACAGGUGCCUAAUAGAGAGGGCUUCCUGGAAGGGGUGGGAGGCGUUGGAGAGGGAGACCAGGCGGCAGGUUGGGUGAAGGCUCAGAUGUCUUAUCCGGACAAAUGAGCAUGACAGGCCCCUCUAGUCAACGCCAGGUGCUUCAAGGGGUGCAGGUAACAUCAGGACAGAUAGGCACUCUGUUUGCUACCUUUCGCCUCUUUAGAAUCUUUGCCUCUGCUCCCUGGAGGCUUUAAGGAGAACUGCGCCCCAGGAGCUGUCAGAACCAAAGAUGGAGGGGAAAGCUGUGCUUUUUUCCGAAAAGUUCUCAGGGGUUCUUCCCUCUCAUCCUCGGUUGCUCUCCAUCUACUUGUUAUUCAGAUCUCUUGGGUCUAGUUCCGAGCACAUGGGAUGCUAGGAAAUGAAAAGGCCUGCUCCACGGUUGAAUAGGGGACUCCAGACACGAAGCUCUGAUGAUCCAGGGCUUGUUUAUUGCCUCCAGGGAUACUGUGGGUGGGAAAACGGGGAGGGGGAUGCCAGAACCUGGCUGUGGAGCAUCUCAGGUGCCUCCUCGUGUCAUCCUGGGAGGUUCUUCCUGACAAGAGCCUGAGAUGCUGUUCCAUCGGCUGUGUUUGCCAGGUGCACAGGUACCAGGUGCCAGGUGCUGAGGCGGGACUUGCCCACCAUUGACUGUGCCUGAGUAUUGGUGUCCUUUGGCUCCUGUAAGUGGGCAUUAAAAUGACAGCUGCGACCAAUUGCUACAACUGAGCUUCAAGAGAUUCCUUUCUGUUUUUUCAGUAGAAACCACGUGGCUCUGAGUUGAAAGGCCAAAGAGAAAACCCACUAUCCAGCUUGAAUGCCAAAAAUACUUAGAAAAAGGAGAAAAUAAAGGUUUUCUUUCAAAGGAAGACUAGAUUCCCAAGUUGGGAGAAGCUGAAAUUAGUAAGGACACUUUAAGCCUGGAAUUGUCUACCUGUGUACAGUAGGUUCCUCUAAAGCUCCUGGAGCUUAAGGCCAGAAUAUAGAGUCUAACAAGGCCAUGAGGAAGACAGGCCUGGGAUGGAUGAUAGUAAGGCCUUGAAUACCGACCUGAAGAUACGGGAAUGGAAGUCUUUUGCCUGGAGGGUUACACACAUAUUAUUGUGUGUAUAUUAUUCAACCUUUCACAACACAUUUAUGAGAUGUUGUAUUAUCCUCAUUGUACAGGUGAGGAAAUUGUGGUUCAGAGGAAGCUAAGGAAAUUCCUCAAGGUCACAUAGCUAAUAAAUGAUUGAGCCAGAUUUGAAUCCAAGUGUUUCCAACCCCUCAAUGCAUCCUUUUACCACCAUAUCACCUAUAGAGGAGGAAUCUGCCUUCUGUGAAGGAAUUCCGCUCUUGAGCAGGGAUCAUGUGUGAGUCUUGAAUGAUGCCUAUUGUGGGGAUGCCAUAGAAAAUGCUUUUCUGGAAGUCUGGAGCAACAUUAUAGAUUGUUCCUGGCCAGGGUGAUGGGUAUGUAGGGUUGCUUUUAAGAGAAAAGGAAGGAAGAAACUAAAUGAGAAAAACAGGGCAAUCAAGUUGAGCUCAGGGCUUCAUGGACAUAGUUGUCUGAUAGUAGAAAGGAAACCAGGGGCCAUCCAUAAGAUGGUGUCUCUAGCUAUCUCAAUUAGUAAGGAAAAAAGUCUAGUGCUGAAAACCUGCAACUCCUGUGGCAGAGAAAUUGGGACUUAUAGGUGGGCUGGAUGGUGAAUUUUCUCACACUAGACUGCCAAGGCUGCAAAGUCUGUUGCUGUAUUGACACGACUAGAAGAUGCAAUUAUGCAGAAGAAAAGAAGUGGGCAUCUGGCCAGGAUGUUUUCACUCUGGGUGGAUGAUACAUCCCUUAUGAAAAAGCAGGUUGGAGUACUCACUUACCAUUUUAUUCUCUUGGCAGUAAAAUCCCAACUCCUAUGAACUCAUGAACAGCCCCAGGCAGCAACAGGGCCAUUACAUUUUGCUUAAUCCUUAUUAUUUUUCUUGUUUUCACUAAGGAUAGUUGAAAGUGGUCAAGAAACUAUUGACUUUCUCUGUGGGCACUAAAUGGAGUGGAACAAAAUAUUAAGUUUUUUUUUUUUUUAAAGAAGCCAAAAUAAGCAGAUUUGUAAACUAAGACUGGAAAUUGGAACCCCUUUUUGACCACCCCUCACUAGCUUUAGCACCUGUUGAUCUCUGGUUUCACAUCCGUAUGUUGCAGAAAACAGGUGUUGCCUCCCUCUCAGAAAAUCAAUGGAGUGCUAAGUACUGAACUUAGUCUGCUUUGAAGCUAAGACUGACUACACUUGGAUUUCUUUUUUGGCAAUGCCCUAUUUCAGACAGGUUAACUUGCAGUAUUGGCUAGUACUGAUCAACCUGUGCUGCCUGAAGACAGUUUCCCAUGAGUUUGCAAACUCUGAGCCUGGAAGCUGUGUCUUUUAUAAUGUGGUUGUACCCCGGACAAUGCUGCACAAAAUUGGAUACAUUCUUCAGGUGUGGGAAAUUUUAAAUUGAGAACAUUAUCUUUCUCUUACCAAUAACUGGUGUAUUCUUGCCUGCAACACUGUGAGAAGGUCGAGAAGGUUAAAAUGGGGUUAGGGAAAGUCCCCAAAUAGCAACCUGGAUGCUCUGAGGAACUGAGUGGAAGUCACAGGGCUGCUGACAAGGAGAAGGCUGUUAGGAGGAAAUGAUCAGACUACAAAUGAUGUGGAUACGAUGAGCACAGACUUGUUCAUCAGAUCCUGAAAUAUAGCAGUGCUUUGGAACUACAAGUGGGGCAAGUUCAGGACAAGUCAGCGGAAAUACUACUUCAUGCAGCAAGUAAUAAAUUUAUGGAAUGAAUUAUCUCCCAGAGGUGAUACAAACUGGCAACAUAAAUGGAUUCCAGGAGGGGCAGUGAGGGCUGCAGCACUCAUGGAAACCUUCCUGAUGGAGGUGUGUUGACCAGAAUAUGGGAAGUGCAGAUCUGAAGAUAGGAAAAGACGGAAUGGUUUCUAGUUGGCCGCAGCAUGAACACGGUUUGAUAGGACUUUUUUGGCUUUAGCCCCGUCUGGUUAAAGGAUGUAACAUCGCUGGGGACCUGAGCAAUCACUCCUCCUUCAUUGUUCUGGACAGUGGGGAGAAGCAGAGAAAGGAAAGGAGAAAAGUCACUGGGAGAGAAAUCUGAUGAGAGAAAGAUAAAGGCUACUGAUGGAGGUUAACACCACCAAUGUAUCUUCUUCCAAGACUUGAGAUCUUGUUUCCCCAACUGGCAAGAUAUAAGAAGGCAUCAUGGACUGUGAGCUCCUUAAGGACAAGGACUGAACUGCGUUGGGAAAGUGUUGGAGGGUUAUAGCAGAGGAAUGACAUAAUCUGACCUACGUUUUGAAAGAUCACGCGGCUGCUUAUGGAGAAUGGUCUCGUGAGUUGGGGAGGGGCGCAAGUUGGAAGUAGAAAGACCAGUUAGAAGGCAGGUGAGACAUGAUGGUGGCUUGGACCAGGAUGGCAGUGGAAGCACAAGUAUGUCACGGUCAGAUUCUAGACCCCUUUCGAAGAAGAAUUAGUGGGAUUUGCUGAUGGAUUGAUAGUAGGUGAGAGAAAGAAGGAAGUUAAAGAUGGUGCCGGAUAUUUUGGCCUGUGGAAAUAGAAGAUUGGCAUUGCAUUAACUAUGACGGGAAAGAUCACAGAGGAUCAGGUUUAGAAUAGGGAGUAAUUAAAGGUUCAACUGGGGACAUAUAAAAUUUGAGAUAGCUAUUAGAACUCCAGGAAGUCAUAUUGAGGGGAACGUUGAAUUUAUGAAUCUGGAAUUCAGGGAGAAGUUGGGCUGGAGAUGUAAGUUUGGUGAAUAUUCAUGGAAAUGGGUGGGGUGAGCGUAGGAGGAGAAAAGAAAGAAUCUGACGACUGAUCCCUGUGGCACUCCAGCGUUUAGAGAUUUCAUUGAUGAGGAGAGCCCAGCAAAGGAGAAUGAGAAGGAGCGACUAUGGAGGUGAGAGGGGAACCAAGAGUGGAUUCAUUGAUACCAACUGAAGACCAUAUUUCAGGUGGAGAAUACAAUUCUGUUAAGAGUUGAGAAUAGAUUUAAUAAGAUCUGUUAGUCCUAUUAGAUCUUCAGUCUGAGGAUUGAGAACCGACCAUUGGAUUUGAAAAUGUGAAAGUCAUAAAUGAUUUAAGAACAGUGGAAAAUAGAUGAUACUAAUAGAGAGGAUAUCUGCUGGACUGAUGUCCUUAAGUAAGAGAGAGGGAUAAGGUCCAAUAUGCAAACGAAGGGGACUGGUUUUAGAUAAAACCUAGUCACUAGAGGAAAGGCAGAGAUAUGGCCAUAAAAGCAAGCUGGUUUGUAGAUGGGAAGGUGGGAGUGGAUGCAGUUUCUCUUUUGAUUGCUUCCUUUUCUCAAAGAAAUAAGAAGCCAGGUCGUCAGCUGAGCGCGAAGGUGAGAGCAGAUGUCUUAUUCAUCUCUGCACCAUCCUCUUGUCCCCAGCAAUUAACAUGAUGCCUGGCACGUGGUUGGCAUUAACACAGGUUGGUAAAUAAGUGAAUUGGAGAUCUGCCAAAUGACUUCACAUUAGGGUUUUGGUUUUCUUUUCUGUCUUGGAGAUGUAAUUUCACUCUAGUUUUGAUCUGUUUUAUGUGUUCAGAACAUUUGUUGGAAUUAUGCAAAAAGAAGGGAUAUCAUGAUAGAAAACAACAUAUUUUUGACUAAAAAUAUAAUAGAUGAGUGAUUUCACAUUAUAUGCAUAUAGUGUGUUUAUAUGUACAUGUACGCAUGUUACAAAUUUACCUGCUUUUGCACCAACUUAAAUAUUUGUUAAUAAUACCAGAUACAAUAUAUAUUAAAUGAGAAGCAAAUCCAUUAUAGACGUUGACAACAUUCUACCAGAUAUAAAAAUACAGACACUUUCAAGAGAUUGGGAGAAGUCGGGUCCAUGCAUGACCAGCACAGCUCUGUGUGUGUGUGUGUGUUGGUGAGUGGGCUCUAGGUAGCCCCUCGAGCUACAUUAUAGAAAUCACUAUACCUCAUCUACCUAGUCCUAAGUCUGGCCUGGGUAGGACCAUGUCCUGUUCUGCCUUCCCAGCUGAUGAUUUCUGACCAGCUAUUUCUCAGUGACUUAACCUAAAAAGCUCCUAAUAUUAUAUCAUAUUGUCGAGAGAAGAACAUGAGGAAAGGCUUCUUUAAAAAAUCUAAAAGCCAAGGUGGUGGGGGUUAGAUAAGCAAGGAAGAGGGUGUGAAUUACUAAAAAACAGAGCUGAAAAGUUAUGUAGAAGCGUGACAUAUUUUGCAUUUGGAAGUCUUCCCAACCCGAAGCUAGCUGCAGUGGUAACAGAGGGGGAAAAGCUGGCAUCUGUUGGAUGACGGUGGAGUCUCUGGGACUGCCGUGAUUUCAAUCUGUGGAGGGGCUGCCUGUUUAUCUUCUCCCAAGCAGGGGCUCUUGAAGAAUACAGCUGGUAGGCAGUGCAGUCAAUUUUAGUUUGCCUCAUUUAUCUCCUUUUUUUAUAUCUUAUUUUUCUCUUUUAUUUUAUAUCUUAUUAUUUCUUAUUUUAGCUUUUUCCCUUCUCUCUUCCCCCUUCUCUUUCAACCAAUUCAUAGAAUUCAUUGUGAAAAGCAGGCAGCAGGACACGGAAACUAGUCUCAUAAAUUAUGACAAGAUGACCCCCCAUCAGGUUGGCUCCGAACCACAAGAGUGGUAGGGGGCUUAAGUAGGAACAAGAUGAAAGUGAGUGGAAGUGAAGUGGUCCCAGGGUCAUGCCUGAAGAGAGGGUGGAAGACCAGAAGAGAGAUGGCUUAAAGCACUGAUAUUGAAUUUUAGGGCUCUGAAAUUAUAUUGACUGCAUUAUUGGAACAUUGAGAGUGAGAAGGUGGUCUCAAGGCCAACUCAUGCAAACAGAGGUUGCAUUUGGAAGCCCUGAACCAUGACUGGAUGUGUUUUCUGUCGAGACAGAUGCACACAGAGCAAGCAGAGGAAAGAGGAGAAUGCUUCCACCUGCAUUUGCCCUGGCAUGCUUCAGCCAUUAGCUCUUCUCUUUCCAAGCAUUCAAACAUAUUAAAUAGGAAAAGUCUCGUCAAUUGCCCGAGACUAUAUUUAUUCAAAUCAGCCAGAAUGGGUUUCUCAAAGCAAAUGUCAACAUAUCAGAGAGGUGCAAGUGAUCUAGGAGAACACAGUCUUGAGACAACUCUGAAACAGGUUAUCACACUCAAAGACAGUUGAUACAUUUCCAGGCUCUACAAAUUUACCUAUAUUGUAUACCAUGUUGUAAAAUUUCAAUACUUUUCCAAAUGUUCAGUGCUAUUCUGGUUUUAGAAGGCUGUAAUACGUGUGAAAUGGGUUGUAAAGAUAGUAACAUAUUCACCCUUGUAUAUUUACAGCACAUUCCUGCAGGCAACUUGUAGCUCAGUGGAACAUUUACUCUGUAGUAUAAUUUUUCAAUAAUAUUACAUACAUUAAUAAAGGUAAUUUAGAAAAAGCCCCAUAAAGUCAUUUGACAUUUUUUGCAAAUUGCCAGAGUAAUAAAAAUGCCUUUACAUUAUGCUGCAAUGGAAAGCUGUGCCCUUUUGCUUGAUUAAGUCCCUUCAGCGUUUACAACUAGAUAUUUGUGUGUCACUUUAUUGCCAUCUUAUUUUAAUUUGAGCUAUGGAUUUCCUGCUCUGAAUGGCGCUACCCUUAUAGUUUUGGAGAAGCGCACUCUUAUCUUGCACAGCAGGAAGAUCAGAGGCAUGAAUCCUGGCCUAGAAUGUCCUAUCUCUACUAACUGCUCGUGAUACUUAGAUUAUACCCCAGGCCCCCAGUUCAAUCAGGUUUUCCAGUCAAUGCUUAGCAAGUGUUUAUUCAUCAUCUUCUAUAUGCUUAGCUCUGGUAGUGACUGUGGGGGAUACUGAAGUAAGAUUGUAGUCUGGGGUAAGAAGUUUUUAAAUAGCUUUGCUAAGGGUCUGGGGUAGAGGGUAAGACAGCCCCAGUACGUGUUUCAGCUUCCGUAGAUGAUCGCUACAUUUCUCUGCUGGAACCAAGGAGAAUUGUCUUAGCUCUGAGAAAGAGGAAAGACUGGGAAGAAAGAGGAGGGAGGGUCUAUGAGAAAAGAAGAUGGUGAGUUAGUAAGGAAGGAAGAAGAAAAGGGAAUGCAAAAAGACAGAUUCUGAGAUUGCUCCUUAGUUUGAGAAGUGAUUUCCUUCUUUGGAAACCUUUAGGAAAUUUUACUGUUCCUACAGAUGAUCUGGUUAGGGGUUGAUUUUUUGGGGUGUAGGAUCUGCAGAGGAAUCUGAUAGAGGACUGGAUUUCUAACUGAUGUAUGCUUAAGCCACAGGGGCUCAUAAAACCAUGUUUACGGGAGAGCUUUAGGCUUCAUCUGGCCAUGGACUUGGGGGGUGGUCUGUGUCCAUUAAAUCUAGAUCUCUUGGAACAGGGAGGCCCCCAGCCAACUUUUGAGUUAAACCAUAAUCAGAGACUCCAAUCAAAAUACUUAUAACCAGAUCAGAAAAUUAAAACCAACACACAAAGCCAAGCCAUCUGAUAGAGACAAUAUAACAAAGUGGUACUUUGUGAGUUAUGGCUGUGCUGGUCAGGAGAGGAAGGACCCCUGCAAGAUGAGGGUGGGUUUUAAAGAGCUUCUUGAUUUCCUGACCAAGCAAUCUAAGACCCCUUUAAAGGAAUAUGUGAGACUCAAUGGGGGCCUUAGAUGGUCUAAGGAUUUGGCUCAGCUGAACAGAAUUUGGGGGCAUGCAAAGAAAGAGGUGCACCCACAAACAGAUGCAUGGCAGGUAGAGGAAGUGUGGCUGGCCCACCACUGGGUUCCUUACUCCUUGGCCUAUGGUCAGAACUUUCUGGGCCCUGAUUCCUACAAAUAUGUUAGGUCCAGACUCAAACCUGUCCUUCACACACCACGUCCCAGAAAUAACAAAUACCGUAGUUCAUUCACUCAUUCAUUCAAAAAGGCGGGUAGCAUUCUUAUUGCUAUAAUUACAGUGGUAAAUAAUACAGGCAGAGUUUCCGUCCUGUCCCAUGGGAGAGACAGAGGCCUAGCCUAUAAACCCACACAAUGAGACAACUCUAAAUUGUAACUGAUAACUUGGAGAGAACCAACAGGAUGCUGUUGGAGGCCACUGCAGGGCCUUGCUGGGGAGAUGAUGUUUAACCUGGGACCUGAAGAAAUGAUCAAGAAAAAGUCAUGAAGAGAGUAUGGGAACAGAGAAAGGAAUGACUCAGGGAGAGGGGAAAGUGUGUGUGAAGGCCAUGAGUGGGGAGUGAAUUUGAUGCUUUGGAAGAUGUUUGAAGAUCAACAUGGCAGAGUUAGUAAGACAGUAAGAAGCCUGAGACAGAGCUAGGGAGAGAGUUGGACCAGAUAAUUUAAAGCCUUGUAAGCCAAACACAGGAAUUUAGGUUCUGUGCUGACUACAAUGAGAAUUCAUCAGAAGAUUUUGAGCAGAAGUGUUAAACCUGUUCAAAGAUUUUUUUUUUUCAUUUCUUGGUUUCUCUGUGAAAAAUUUUAACAAUACAUUCAACACAAAAAGUGUUGACUUUACAGGCGUGUGCAAGCCGCAGUCAUCUAUGCUACAGAAAAUGGCAUAACCUGCUAAGGUUUACUCAUUACGGGUCCCGGAGCAGCCAACAGAUGGAUAAUAACAUUUAGUCACUACCGACUGGUAAUUACAGUAUGCAUUUAAAGAAGAAAUAAGUACGUUUCCUGCUUCAAGUUCUCUCUUACGAAACGGAGAACCAAUAUCUCCCACAUUGUAUACCAGAGACGCAAUCCAUAGCCCCAGAACUGAUAGAAAACUCCCUGAGGUUAAUAAUUCAUGCAUGACUUGUGAUUGCAGUUGUACGUUAUAUCUGUUUUCAUUAGAUGUUCCCCUUUAUUGAGUUUUCACAGUGCACAUCAGCAGCCUCUAUGUGCCCCUGUUCAAAAUAAGCUGCUUGCUUUUAAAAUGUUCUGGACUAUAUAAUUUCAUUUGGGCCAUUAUGGGAAACACAUGGUUCCUGUGUGUCUGGCUUUUUAAAUCUUUUCACACUCUUGUCUAAGACUGUGGUUUGGAUAUUGAUCCCAAACUAUGUAGGUCUGAAGAAUCGUGGCUGCCAUUUUUUUAUGGAUGGAUUUACCCCUCCUGCUCCUCAGUGCAGAAUUUUCUGAUCCUAAGAGGAGGGUUUCUAAUUUAGGUCAUUUUGCAAGAAGGCAUUGCAUGUACUUUGACACAAACAAAGCUCUUGGUUUGCAUGCAGCCAAGAGAAUGACAGCCCAGUCAUUCAGGUCCUGAUGCUUAUACUCAGGGAGCUGCUAUAUCAGAACCAGAGUUUGGGCUCUGACCUGGCUCUCUACCAAAUCCUGGGUCAGAAACUGGGCUCUGCCACAUCUUCCUCUGAGGGAUUCAUUGUUCCAUCCACAAAAUGGCUAUUAUUUUUUUCUUUUAGUUUUCUGGGACCAGAUAGAAAUUUCUGAAAUAAGGGCUGCCUUGUAGCUAUGGGUGACAUAGUUUUAAAAAUCAAAUGGAAGCUAUAUUGCUGUGAAGACACAACUCAUAUGUAUAGAUUGAUAGACAGAUAUGUACAGAUACACAAAUUAUUAAGAGUAGCCAUCUCUGGAUGGUGAUAUUUUAAUUAUUCCUUUUGUUAUUGACAUUUUCUAACUUUUUUACAAUGAACCCAAAUUAUUUGUAUAAUGAAAAAAAUGUAAAAAAAAAAAUCUCAUUCUUGGUGCUCAGAGCAAGGGAACUGUAAGCCAUGGUGAGCUGAGAAAAGGAGAGAAUUAAUGGCCUUAAGACAGCCUACAGGACCAGCCACCCCACGAGGCACUUGGGGUGUGGCUGCCUUGGACUUUGUUGUGUGUAUGUGUGUUCAUGUGUAUGUACAUGUGUGUAUGCGUAUUUAUAUGGGCAUGCAUUUAUGUGUAUUGUGUGCAUGUGUGUGUUAUAUGUAUGGGCAUGCAUGUAUGAGUUCAUGAGUGUGGGCAUGUGUGUUAUGUUUAUGUAUAUAUGUGGUAUGUUAUAUGCAUGUGCUUGUGUGUAUGCAUAUUCAUGUGUGUUUGUGUUCCAGACGCUCAAAACCAUCCUAUGCUGCCCCCUGGGACAUGAGCCCAGCAUUCUUCAUCUGGGAUCUCUCACUCUUCACUUGGGUUUCUAUCUUCUGCAAAGAGUUGCUUCUGAGGCAAUGAAGGGCUUGGCUCUGUGUGGUCAGGGAGAUGUGCGGAGCUCAACAAUAGGAAAUUCCUCAGUUAAUAUCACCAAAUUUCAUUCCGGCAUAUGUAAUAUGGGACCAAUUAUGUCUUCAGAUUGUUAUGAGGAUUUAAUGAGAUAAUCCACGAGAAACCUUUAACACACUGCUUGGCAUGUAGAAAGGGCUCAAUAAAUGUUGCCUGUUAUUAUUAUUACUAACACUAUCAUGCUGCUCAUUGCUUUCCACUGGGAAAUGAAAAUAGACUCCUGGAUUCACUGUCCCUGCCUGUGAACAGAGGUGGUUUUGGAAGCCGUGGCAGCACCCAGUGACCUUCUCCUCAAACUCAACUUCUCUGAAUUAGACCAGGCCAAGGUGAAUGCUCAUAUGUAGCACAUGGAGACCUAGGCGUGCUGGCUCAGCUUUGGAGCAGUGGAGGCAAGUAGAAGCCACUGGAGGAAGCCAAUCAACCACCCACCCUCCCAGGUCCUGGCAUCUGACCCAAGUAUCAGCCUACCAGUAUUGCCACCUGCUGACACAUUUACGUGAUAACAGAUUAUGAGAGAUUCGGCAAAGAUCCUGAACUGUCUUAUCCACAACGGUACAGACCACUUGGAGUGGAAGGAAACACUAUAUGGAAAUUGCCAUCUGCGCAAGCAGCCUGAUUAGAUGACAUCUGCAGACCUCCAUAGAACCAGCUGAUACAUUCACCCUUAGCUUGAAGUCUGGAUUAUACGACCCCACUACAAGCUGGUGGAAGGCAGACUGUGAAGGGGAUGAAGGCUCCCACUCAGAGGCAGCUAAUGCAGCAGCCGAAAAAGAGGAAGCGGAAGUCAGCAACUGAGAUGCACCGUGAAGUCAUCAUGUGGAGUGAGAUAAGCCAGUCAUACGGGACAGCAGGAGUUACCGUGUAACGGGUGCAGCGAUGCAGCCAGCAUGAAGGAAGAGUUCUGGAGAUGGACAGUGGUCACGGUGGGACAACAGUGUGAAUGUACUUAAUGCCAGUGAAUUCGACACUUCAAAUUGUUAAAAUGGUAUAUUUUGUUACGUAUCUCUUACCAGAACAAAAGCAAACACCGAAGACCACCCUGCCUUCUGUAUGGAGAAUCUAGAAAGACUAAGAAAAGGAUGAAAACUACACUUAUGGAAAAGUUGCAAUAAUAGGCCAAAAGCUCUCACUAAUGCCUUACCCAGAUGAUUGGUGACAUAUUGUGGAAAUAAAGUUGAUCCAGACUUGCUGUUGAGCCAGGUGUGAGGGCUGAGGGAAAGAGAAGUUUAUGAUCUGUCCCCUGCAGCCACAGAAAGUUAGCUGUGGAAGGGUAGCCACUGAGUCACGGACCACCAGGACUAGAUCACAAACAUGAGGCCGGGAGAGAGGAGGGGAGCCGUCUGGGGACACACAGGUUUCUGCAGAGGGCCACGAUGUGAGCUUAGGUUCCUAACUUGCAGUUUUUUGGUUUUUAAACAUUACUUAUUUAUUUAUUAUUGUAUUAUUAUUGUUUUUCAGAGACAGAGUGUCUCUGUCA